AUGGGAGAAAUUACCCCCUUCCUGCGUUCACAGAAAACAGAGGCCAUGGCACUGGCCGAGCACGCACGGCCGUCCACGCGCGGAUCUUGCCCGUGUCAACCAUCUGCCAGCGCCCCGAGUCAGAUAAGAGCAUCCCCGAACCCCCAGCGAACCCUAGUACCCACUCACUCCCUCUCUCUCACUCGCUCUCUCCCUCUGUAUUUCGCCCGACGCCGUCGUCGCCGUGCACCGCUCGAUCCCGCGGCCACCGUCGUCCCUGCGCCUCGCCGUCAUGCCCAAGAACUUCAUCGUCGCCCGCUACCCCGUCCAGUGCGAGCCGUUGGAGCCAGGGAGCUCUGCAUCGCGAGAUCGCCGUCGUCUUCUUCCUCUUCGGUCGCCGGUGUCGUCGUCAAUUCCGGCGAAGCCUGCAGCUCCUAA
rnacentral:rRNA from 1 species